rnacentral:rRNA from 1 species
GACUGAGUGGCGGACGGGUGAGUAACGCGUGGGCAACCUGCCUUGUACAGGGGGAUAACAGUUAGAAAUGACUGCUAAUACCGCAUAAGACCACAGCACCACAUGGUGCAGGGGUAAAAACUGAGGUGGUACAAGAUGGGCCCGCGUCUGAUUAGCUGGUUGGUGAGGUAACGGCUCACCAAGGCGACGAUCAGUAGCCGACCUGAGAGGGUGACCGGCCACAUUGGGACUGAGACACGGCCCAAACUCC